GCAGCAGGCGCCGCGGGGACUCGAACCCCGUCCGUCGGGAGUGCCGCCACCGGCGCCUUUUGCUUUUUUUUUUGGCCGUUUUGUCCUUUUUUUCCCUUUUUUUUUUUGGGGGCGGGCCGCAGGAGAAAAGCAAAACCUGAGACAACGGCGUUCUCUCAGGAAAAGAAAACCUGGCCCGGGGGGGGGGCGGGGAGAUGGAUUUUGGGGCAAUUUAAGGCGAUUUUGGGCGAUUUCGUGGGUUUUGGUUCGAUUUUGGGGGGGGCGUUUGAGCUCCAAUGUCGUUUUGGGGUGAAUCUGUGAGGUUUUGGGAGAAGGGGGGGGGUCAAGAAAAGCGUAAGUCACCUGCUGGCUCCGCCGCGGGUCCGGCCGCGUCGCGCCGCUCCCUGGAAGGCAAUCGCGACACCCCACCCCCCCACCCCAAAAACCGCCCCGAAAAACGGGGGUUUCCGGCAAAACCAAAAACCGACAGUUUCCCUACACCACCGUCAGGGGGGGGCGAGGCCCCCGAAGUACCCAAAUACCGGAGAAACUGCCCCAAAAAAUCUACCUGGCGGCGUCGCUGGCGGUGCUCCGAGGCGGUGCGCGCUUUGGGGUGCUUUUGGAGGGUUUUUUUGGGGGGGGGGGGGGUUUCCGGUGGCGCGGCGUCCCCGGCGCAAAACGGGCUCGGAAGGCGGGAUUUUGGGGUUCGCGCUCGUGUCCGCAGCGCAAAACGGGCUCGGAAAGCGGGAUUUUGGGGGCAGCCACGCGUCCCCG
rnacentral:lncRNA from 1 species